ACUUUCUUUUAUAAGUUUGGUGCUAAAAUUGCGGAAACUAGAACCAUAUCUUGGUUUUUGUAAUAAUGCUGGCAGAGUACACACAAGAAGAAAAGGUAAAUGCACUAGAUUGUAAAGACUGGGGUAGAGUCUUUCUUAAUGUUUGGUGUCCUUUGUCUUAAGAGUUGGUGCAGUAUGU